GUGGCUGUAGCUCAGUUGGUUAGAGCGUCUGGUUGUGGCCCAGAAGGCCGUCGGUUCGAGUCCGAUCAGCCACCCCA
rnacentral:tRNA from 1 species